CCCUUAGAUGUUCUGGGCCGCACGCGCGCUACACUGAUGCAUUCAACAAGCCUAGCCUUGACCGAGAGGUCCGGGUAAUCUUUGAAACUGCAUCGUGAUGGGGCUAGAUUAUUGCAAUUAUUAAUCUUCAACGAGGAAUGCCUAGUAGCGUGAUUCAUCAAAUCGCGUUGAUUACGUCCCUGCCCUUUGUACACACCGCCCGUCGCUCCUACCGAUUGAAUGUGUUGGUGAGGAGCUCGGAUUGGCAGCAGUUGGUGGUUCGCCACCGGCUAUUGCUGAGAAGUCCUCCAAACCGCCCCAUUUAGAGGAAGGAGAAGUCGUAACA
rnacentral:rRNA from 1 species